rnacentral:rRNA from 1 species
AUUGAACGCUGGCGGCAUGCCUUACACAUGCAAGUCGAACGGUAACAGGUCUUCGGAUGCUGACGAGUGGCGAACGGGUGAGUAAUACAUCGGAACGUGCCCGAGAGUGGGGGAUAACGAGGCGAAAGCUUUGCUAAUACCGCAUACGAUCUCAGGAUGAAAGCAGGGGACCGCAAGGCCUUGCGCUCACGGAGCGGCCGAUGGCAGAUUAGGUAGUCGGUGGGAUAAAAGCUUACCAAGCCGACGAUCUGUAGCUGGUCUGAGAGGACGACCAGCCACACUGGGACUGAGACACGGCCCAGACUCCUACGGGAGGCAGCAGUGGGGAAUUUUGGACAAUGGGCGCAAGCCUGAUCCAGCCAUGCCGCGUGCAGGAUGAAGGCCUUCGGGUUGUAAACUGCUUUUGUACGGAACGAAAAGACUCCUUCUAAUAAAGGGGGUCCAUGACGGUACCGUAAGAAUAAGCACCGGCUAACUACGUGCCAGCAGCCGCCGUAACAC